GCGCACGGCCAGACUCGCGCUGCGGCGGCGGCGGUCGCUGCUGCUGCCGCCCGGCGGGGUGGGGGAGAGGAGGAGCGGCGGGGCGGGGCCGGCGGGCGGCGGCGGCCAAUCGGACCCCUCCUCCAGCCGGCCCGGGGCGCGUCGAGCCGGGCCGGGCGGCCAAUCGGCGCCGCGCGGCCGCCGUUCCGAGGGAGGCGAUUGGUCGUCGCUUUGCCUCCCCUCCUUCGACUCCCUGCGGGCGGCGGGCGGGACCGCGAGCGGGCUGGAGGGCGGGGAAACCCCUCAGGGGCGGUGCUGAGGGGCGGGGGCUGGGAGCGAGGGGCGGGGCUCCGGUGCUACGGCGGCGGCGGGAAGCGCGCGUGGGAGCGCGCUCGUGAGGUGGCAGCUGGCGGCUCCCCCUGCGCAGAGAAAACGCCCAUCUCAGCGCUGUGCGGCGAGCCCUCGGCACUGCCGCGCUCUGGGCAGCGCGCAGGGCUGGGUAAAAAGCGCAGGCAGGGCAGUCAGCAAACGCACCGCUGUGCGCUGAGCACCACGGCAACUGGAGGGAGAACAAUUAAUCAGGACAGGGAAAUCUCCCUUCCGAGAGGGACUCCGACACCCCUCAGCUGUCAAUCUCCCAUUGCCCCAGUCCGGAGCGUUUCCUCACCUCACCAGAAGGACGCGAUGCACGGCGCGCGUCAAGCAACAAACAGCUCCUCCAGAGCAACCCUUUGUUUUUGCAAACGCUCUCUCCGAAUCGAAUGUAGUUUUGCAUUCACACCAAAAGCACGCACUCAGAACUGCCCCAAAACUUCCCCAGGAUGCCAUCUCCACCUCAGAGUUGCUUUCACAUCCUUUUCUUUCCAGGGUGUAGCAGCUACAUCAGAGAUAGCCGAGCAAUCGAGAGUUUUGUGCCCAGCGCUGCCAUGCUUCACGCCCUCCGCACAGCAGCAGCCACCUGAAGUUUGCUGCAAUCAGAUCCUGCAAUUAGAGCAAAGCCUGUCCUCUGACGCCGGCAGGUUCCCAGCCCAUCUCCACGAGGAGGACGUUAGACGUUUGAAAAUCAAAUUAGCUUACCUGAGUGCUUUAAUUUGA
rnacentral:lncRNA from 1 species